rnacentral:RNase_P_RNA from 1 species
CGAGCAGACCGGACAGCUGCGAACAGUGUUUACUGUUUGAGGAAAGUCCGAGCUUCACAGGGCAGGAUAGCGGCUAACGGCCGCCGAGGGUGACCUCAGGGAAAGUGCAACAGAAAUAUACCGCCGGCAUUUUUGCCGGUAAGGGUGGAAAGGUGAGGUAAGAGCUCACCGGCUGUACGGGUGACCAUACAGCCCUGCAAACCCUAUCCGAAGCAACACUGACUAAAGCGAUACGCUGGCCCGGCGUGCUUUGAAAAGUGGCAUGAGCCGUAGGAGCAAUCCUCGGCCUAGAUAGAUAGUUGUCCAAGACAGAACUCGGCUUAUAGGUCUGGUCGCAUU